rnacentral:rRNA from 1 species
AGUGAACGCUGGCGGCGUGCCUAAUACAUGCAAGUCGAACGGAGUGGCGCACGGGUGCGUAAUAUAUAGCUAAUCUGCCCCUUGCUGGAGGACAACAGUUUGAAAUGAGUGCUAAUAAUCCAUAGGACGGGAUGAGACUAUAUCGUAUCAGCUCGUCGGUGGGGUCACGGCCUACAGAGGAUAUGACGCGUAACUGGGCUGUGAGGAUGAGCAGUCACAGUGGAACUGAGAAACGGUCCGUACUUCUACGGGAUGUAGCAGUAGGGCGUGGUGCGCAAGGGGAGGAACCCUGACGCGUCAGCGCCGCGUGGAGGAUGACACUUUUCGGAGCGUAAGCUCCUUUGAUUAGGGAAGCGUUACCGAACGAAUAAGCACCGGCUAACUCCGUGCCAGCAGCCGCGGUAAUAC